CCUACGGGCGGCAGCAGUGAGGAAUAUUGGUCAAUGGUCGGGAGACUGAACCAGCCAAGCCGCGUGAGGGAUGACGGUACUGUGUAUCGUAAACCUCUUUUGUCAGGGAACAAAGGCGGGGACGUGUCCCCGGAUGAGUGUACCUGAAGAAAAAGCAUCGGCUAACUCCGUGCCAGCAGCCGCGGUAAUACGGAGGAUGCGAGCGUUAUCCGGAUUUAUUGGGUUUAAAGGGUGCGUAGGCGGUCUGUUAAGUCAGCGGUAAAAGCCCGGGGCUCAACCCCGGCCCGCCGUUGAAACUGGCAGACUGGAGUUGGAGAGAAGUAUGUGGAAUGCGCGGUGUAGCGGUGAAAUGCAUAGAUAUCGCGCAGAACUCCGAUUGCGAAGGCAGCAUGCCGGCUCCACACUGACGCUGAGGCACGAAAGCGUGGGGAUCGAACAGGAUUAGAUACCCGGGUAGUC
rnacentral:rRNA from 1 species